CGUGUAGGCGGUUUCUUAAGUCUGAUGUGAAAGCCCCCGGGCUCAACCCGGGAAGUGCAUUGGAUACUGGGAGACUUGAAUACGGGAGAGGGUAGUGGAAUUCCUAGUGUAGGAGUGAAAUCCGUAGAUAUUAGGAGGAACACCGGUGGCGAAGGCGGCUACCUGGACCGAUAUUGACGCUGAGACGCGAAAGCGUGGGGAGCAAACAGGAUUAGAUACCCUGGUAGUCCACGCCGUAAACGAUGAGGACUAGGUGUUGCGGGUAUUGACCCCUGCAGUGCCGCAGCUAACGCAUUAAGUUCUCCGCCUGGGAAGUACGGUCGCAAGACUAAA
rnacentral:rRNA from 1 species